rnacentral:rRNA from 1 species
GAUGAACGCUGGCGGCGUGCCUAAUACAUGCAAGUCGAGCGAACGGACGAGAAGCUUGCUUCUCUGAUGUUAGCGGCGGACGGGUGAGUAACACGUGGAUAACCUACCUAUAAGACUGGGAUAACUUCGGGAAACCGGAGCUAAUACCGGAUAAUAUUUUGAACCGCAUGGUUCAAAAGUGAAAGACGGUCUUGCUGUCACUUAUAGAUGGAUCCGCGCUGCAUUAGCUAGUUGGUAAGGUAACGGCUUACCAAGGCAACGAUGCAUAGCCGACCUGAGAGGGUGAUCGGCCUCACUGGAACUGAGACACGGUCCAGACUCCUACGGGAGGCAGCAGUAGGGAAUCUUCCGCAAUGGGCGAAAGCCUGACGGAGCAACGCCGCGUGAGUGAUGAAGGUCUUCGGAUCGUAAAACUCUGUUAUUAGGGAAGAACAUAUGUGUAAGUAACUGUGCACAUCUUGACGGUACCUAAUCAGAAAGCCACGGCUAACUACGUGCCAGCAGCCGCGGUAAUACGUAGGUGGCAAGCGUUAUCCGGAAUUAUUGGGCGUAAAGCGCGCGUAGGCGGUUUUUUAAGUCUGAUGUGAAAGCCCACGGCUCAACCGUGGAGGGUCAUUGGAAACUGGAAAACUUGAGUGCAGAAGAGGAAAGUGGAAUUCCAUGUGUAGCGGUGAAAUGCGCAGAGAUAUGGAGGAACACCAGUGGCGAAGGCGACUUUCUGGUCUGUAACUGACGCUGAUGUGCGAAAGCGUGGGGAUCAAACAGGAUUAGAUACCCUGGUAGUCCACGCCGUAAACGAUGAGUGCUAAGUGUUAGGGGGUUUCCGCCCCUUAGUGCUGCAGCUAACGCAUUAAGCACUCCGCCUGGGGAGUACGACCGCAAGGUUGAAACUCAAAGGAAUUGACGGGGACCCGCACAAGCGGUGGAGCAUGUGGUUUAAUUCGAAGCAACGCGAAGAACCUUACCAAAUCUUGACAUCCUUUGACAACUCUAGAGAUAGAGCCUUCCCCUUCGGGGGACAAAGUGACAGGUGGUGCAUGGUUGUCGUCAGCUCGUGUCGUGAGAUGUUGGGUUAAGUCCCGCAACGAGCGCAACCCUUAAGCUUAGUUGCCAUCAUUAAGUUGGGCACUCUAAGUUGACUGCCGGUGACAAACCGGAGGAAGGUGGGGAUGACGUCAAAUCAUCAUGCCCCUUAUGAUUUGGGCUACACACGUGCUACAAUGGACAAUACAAAGGGCAGCGAAACCGCGAGGUCAAGCAAAUCCCAUAAAAUUGUUCUCAGUUCGGAUUGUAGUCUGCAACUCGACUACAUGAAGCUGGAAUCGCUAGUAAUCGUAGAUCAGCAUGCUACGGUGAAUACGUUCCCGGGUCU